rnacentral:rRNA from 1 species
UACAGAGGGGGCAAGCGUUGUUCGGAAUUACUGGGCGUAAAGGGCGCGUAGGCGGCCGCCUAAGUCAGACGUGAAAUCCCUCGGCUCAACCGGGGAACUGCGUCUGAUACUGGGUGGCUUGAAUCCGGGAGAGGGAUGCGGAAUUCCAGGUGUAGCGGUGAAAUGCGUAGAUAUCUGGAGGAACGCCGGUGGCGAAGGCGGCAUCCUGGACCGGUAUUGACGCUGAGGCGCGAAAGCCAGGGGAGCAAACGGG